rnacentral:rRNA from 1 species
UACAGAGGGUGCGAGCGUUGUCCGGAAUUAUUGGGCGUAAAGGGCGCGUAGGCGGCUUAACAAGUCACUUGUGAAAUCUCCGGGCUUAACUCGGAACGGCCAAGUGAAACUGUCAAGCUAGAGUGCAGAAGGGGCAAUCGGAAUUCUUGGUGUAGCGGUGAAAUGCGUAGAUAUCAAGAGGAACACCUGAGGUGAAGACGGGUUGCUGGGCUGACACUGACGCUGAGGCGCGAAAGCCAGGGGAGCAAACGGG